UACGUAGGUGGCAAGCGUUAUCCGGAUUUACUGGGUGUAAAGGGCGUGUAGGCGGGGAAGCAAGUCAGAUGUGAAAACCACGGGCUCAACCUGUGGCCUGCAUUUGAAACUGUUUUUCUUGAGUGCUGGAGAGGCAGUCGGAAUUCCGUGUGUAGCGGUGAAAUGCGUAGAUAUACGGAGGAACACCAGUGGCGAAGGCGGAUUGCUGGACAGUAACUGACGCUGAGGCGCGAAAGCGUGGGGAGCAAACAGG
rnacentral:rRNA from 1 species